AUUGAACGCUGGCGGCAGGCCUACCACAUGCAAGUCGAGCGAGUGGCGGACGGGUGAGUAAUGUGUGGGAACAUGCCUGUUGGAGGGGGAUAACUAGUGGAAACGAUAGCUAAUACCGCAUACCAUCAGAUGUGCCCAGAUGGGAUUAGCGUGUAGGUGGGGGAAAGGCUCACUGAGACGACGAUCCAUCACUGGUCUGAGAGGAUUACCAGCCACACUGGAACUGAGACACGGUCCAGACUCCUACGUGAGGCAGCAGGGGGGAAGAUGGCACAAGGGGCGCAAGCCUGAUGCAGCCAUGCCGCGGGUAUGAAGAAGGCCGUCGGGUUGUAAAGUACUUUCAGCGGGGAGGCGUUACCCGCAGAAGAAGCACCGGCUAACUCCGUGCCAGCAGCCGCGGUAAUAC
rnacentral:rRNA from 1 species